rnacentral:rRNA from 1 species
AGUGAACGCUGGUGGUAGGCCUAACACAUGCAAGUCGAACGGUAACAGGUCUUCGGAUGCUGACGAGUGGCGAACGGGUGAGUAAUACAUCGGAACGUGCCUAGUAGUGGGGGAUAACUACUCGAAAGAGUGGCUGAUACCGCAUGAGAUCUACGGAUGAAGGCAGGGGAUCGCAAGACCUUGUGCUACUACAGCGGCCGAUGGCAGAUUAGGUAGUUGGUGGGAUAAAAGCUCACCAAGCCGAGGAUCUGUAGCUGGUCUGCGAGGACGAUCAACAACACUGGGACGGGGACACAGCCGAGAGUGCUACGGGAGGCAGCAGUGGGGAAUAUUGGACAGUGGGCGCUAGCCUGAUCCAGCGAUGCCGGGUGCAGGAUGAAGGCCUUCGGGUUGUAAACGGCUUUUGUACGAAACGAAAAGCCCCGGGUUAAUACCCUGGGGUCAUGACGGUACCGUAAGAAUAAGCACCGGCUAACUGCGUGCCAGCCGCCGCCGUAA